UUCAUAAUAUAGUGCCUCCGUGCUUGUCGAGAAAUACGAAUUCAGUGGUAUAAUUUUUAUUCCCGCCACAGUUGGUCUAGUUGGUUAAAUGUAUAGUCAAACUUACAUCUCGGAAAACACGGACGCACUACAUUGGAACGGAGCGAUGCUUAAUUGUUCGAUGCAGAAACUAGGCUUAGAAAGCAAGAACUGUCUUGUGGUAGAAGACAGUGUCAUGGGACUACAAGUAGGUCUUCCAAAUUUUUAUUUUACUAACUAAACGUAUACUUUUGAACACAAGGGAUGUCUUUCUUUUGAGAGGCAGCAAUAGGAGCAGGAAUGUCAUGUAUAAUAACAUACACACCUUCAGCUUCUAACCAAGUAAGAUCGAGCUUAGCUACAAAUUAUUGUUCAGUCUAACAGUCCACAUGUCCUGAUCUCCUGAAUUUUCUGUAAGAUUUCAAGGAUGCAAUUGCAACCUAUAUGAUCUUAGUAAUGUGAGGUAUGUAAUGACUUAUCCAUUUUAGUUUGUUUCAUCAGGUAAACCACACCUGUUAAGUCUUCACACGCUUGAGGAGCUGAAGCUACUGUUCCAAGAAUCUCUGGUCACUGGAUAGUGGAAUUUCCUGAUUUCCUCGGGCCUUUUUCGGUUGGUGGCCAUCCAACCCCCUAGUUUGAGGUGUCUCAAGUGAACUAACUUUUCUUAUCUGAUGUUAAUGAGAUAUGUUUAUGCAAAUUAGCUCAGAAUUCUCUCAACAUGGAGGUCCCUUAUCUGAUGCUUUCAGAUGACGUAAUGAAUUUUGAGUUAUGUUGAGAGAACAUGGAGGUCCCUUAUUCUCUCAACAUGAAUCUCAGCCACUCCCGAAACCUUGAAACUGAAAAAGAACGAGCAGGCUAAAGUAAGAAUGGCACUGCAGAUAGAAUUUAAAAUAGCAGUGUACAUACGAGCAUAAAAAUGGCACUGCGGUUACACUUUGAAGUAAACAUCGCUUUGCAUAAUGCAUCUUAACCGUGGAAAAGCGUAGAAUUCAAGCUCCGAAAUAAUCUAGCUUCGGGACACUCUUGAGAUGACACAGAACAGACCUUUGAUUUUUACUGCCGAAGACAUACAUAAUAGUUUGGCUGGAUAUUGCAUACAGAAGGUAGUUUGAUCAUGUAAAAAUAAAGCAUCAAUCCUAGACCAAGAUCAUGAAAGCGGAUAAAUCUGAAUGAAAUUGUUGGGUAUAGAAAUGCUGAAAAGAAACACUUCAGUCGCAUAGAUUAAUAUGUAGUAGCUAAAUGAUUUUUCAAGAUCAUGAUACGAUACUGGAAUGUUCCUGUAUUAACUAUUCUGCAUUGUUUCCAUCUAAAAAGAUAUCUAUAAAAAUAUUAAACAAGUAGCCAGGGUAUGAAAAUAGCAAACCUUAUACUAGAGUAAUUGACAAGAGUUACAGAGUCAAUCUUCUUAAACUCUGGACCAAGUUUUUCUUCAGCUUCACUGGAUUAAACUGUGCACACAGAUGACCAGAGAAACAAGGACCAAACAGCAAGGAAACAAGGUAUGCUGAUGGUUAUGUAUUUGCAUUGCGUCGAUGUGUUAUUCUUUUAUAUAUCACAAAAUUCUAUCGAAUUUGUAAGGCCCUGUUUGGAACCACAAUAAAUUAUGAUAAUCUGGAUUAUGACGAUAGAUUAUAUAAUCAGGUUUAUAAAAAUAAUCUAGGUGGGCAUGUUUGAAGGCCAGAUUAUAUAAAUUGUAAUUCAGAUUUUUACAUUACAUAAUGACAUGUUUGUCCUGUGUGUGCGCUGAGGAGAAAAAAGGAGGGUGGCGGUGGCAGAAAUAAGUAAUUACCUCCAACUUUACAAAGAUAAUGGGUCACUAGGAAUCCAUAACCUGAUUUUAUCUCGGAUAGAGUAGAGUAUGAGUUUUUAAUAAUCUGUACAUCUAAUUUUAAUAAUCUACAAUAUAAUAUGUCUUGUUUGGAGAUAGUAUAAAUUAUAAAAACUGAAUUAUCAUAAUCUGAGAGGUUACAAACAGGACCUAAGUUAAAAUCAGACCAUGGUGGUUUAUUAAUAAAAAUGAAACCAUACACAGGUGAUAGAGAACACCUAGCUGAUCUAUCUUGCAAUUUGUACGACCAGAGAGACGUGAAAAACUGCAAGCGCAUUUUUGGAGCCGGUGUCUGGACCUAAGCAUGUCAAUCCAUCCCCAAUGACCCAAUUUAUUCUUUGCAAGGUAGUGCAAGAACGUGUAAAAAUAGACAUAUACUCCCUCUGUUUCUAAAUAUAAGUCUUUUUAGAGAUUUCAUUAGAGGACUACAUACGAAGCAAAAUGAAUGAAUCUAUACUUUAAAGUAUGUCUAUAUUCAUCCGUAUGUAGUUUUUUAAUAAACCUUUAAAAAAAACUUAUAUUUAAGAACAGAGGGAGUAAGCAGUAGCAAGUAACAACAUGGACACAUAAGCAAUACCUCUGAGCGCAUCCACUUGAGAAAAUUUGUAAACUAUAGGCCUCGUCGGAGAGCACGCAGGCCUCGCUAGGGGCACGAUGUCAAUGCGUGGGGAACGAGUUAAUUGCAAAAGACUAUCAUAAUUCAGGCCGUAUUCACAAGUUGGUGCCAUCUUUCAAUUUUUUUACAAAUACGUACCAAGAUACAGGCCGUAUUUUGCAGAUCCUUGUAUUUCUACAUAUAGAUGCUCUUUCUGACAGAUGUGGCCCACCGAUCAGUCUCCUUAUAAAAAAACCGGCCCGGGCGCUCCGGAGAAAACCAAUUCUUUCUCUCCGUCCAGACCGGACAGGCAAAAGAAAAAAAAACCUUGUCUCCUCCACCAAGCGCACCAUCUCCCCCAUCUCCCCUGCUCCUUGCAGCGUGUACGCGCAGUUGGCCGGCUUGAGGCUGUCGCCGAAGCCGAGGAGAUCCACGGCGAUCAGCCUGCGGUGGCUCCUGCAGGACGAAGCGCAGCCGNNN
rnacentral:lncRNA from 1 species